AAAUAUAAAGAGAUUUGGAUGCUGGCCUCCUGACUUGGGAGAUUGAAAAAAAGAAACAAACAAACAAACCACAAAACCCAGAGCUAUGCCAGGCCACAUGAACAUUUAAAUCGUGAAACGCUAAAUACCACUUAUUUUUUUUCCUGAGAAAGUCCUGUUGUGAGACAGGAGAGGCCAACAUUUUCUACCUCCUACAAAAAAAGAUCUUUCGGUGACGAGCUACAGGCUUUUCCUUUGGGUUUCUGAUGAUUCCUGGAAAGUUAAAAGACGGGCUGAGGAAACCGGGCAGGAACAACAAUGCCGUUACCAAAGGCUUCCGCAACCUCUGGGACGUUGCCAUCCGGAAUGCAAAGACUGCAUCCAACAUACCAAGUCCGUGCCUGCUCCCCAAACCCAGUUCUAGCUCCAGCUAUUACAAGAACAAGUGACUGUCCCGACCCCUCCGUCUUUCAGGAGGAAGGUGGCAAGGAUACUCUGAACACCCCUGAUAUCGGCAUCCACAGCUCAGCCAGUUCUUACAAAAGCAACAUUGCCGGGGCCGGUGGCCUCCUCACCUGUGGGACUGGGUAUCUUCCGCUAAUGCAGGAGCUGCAGAGGGCCUUUCUCAUGCGGGCUGAAUGCCCCAGGUUUAGCAACAGGUCAACUUCAACAUCACAGUGGGGGCCAGGUUUGGUUACUGUGUCUGAACUGCCCAGUGGCACACACCUCAAAGACAUCAACUAUGAAAACUGGAAAAUGACCGAUGAAACAUCAUUCUCGAACAUUUUAAAGACAACUCAAACAGGGAAAAAGCUCACAUAUAGCCAGAGUGCCUGUGAAUUCCAAAACUUAAGACAAAGCUACGAGGGUCCCAGUUCUCAGACCAUGAUAAAGGGCCCCCAAAGCUGGAAGAUUCCUUGGUAUGCUACUGUGAUUCAGGAGAAGGAUCGGCACUUGGUCCUGAUGAAGGAUGAGCUUAACCGGCUUACAGCUUUAGAAGAGGCUUGCCGGAAGAAGGAUGAUGAGCUUGCCCAACUCAAAGAAGAGGUGAAAGACCUACAGAAACAGCUGCAGUUCCUAAGUGAAGUCCGAGGAAUAGAAACUAACCUCAAGGAAGAGGUGUCGAGGGUAAGCCAAGAAGGCAGUGGUGUCCUGGGCAAAAAGGAGGACCUGGGACAGGCCCUGAAGCCAGAAGAUACCCCGACUAUUCAAGACAUGAGGGGAAGUCAGGACACCAGUAUUCUUUCCACUGCAACUUAUGAGGAUGCUGAAAUCCAAGGACAGAGCAUCACAGCGGAGGUGAAGGAUGGAGGUUUCAGAACAUGCAUAGACAGUUAUGGGCCCCUCCCACCCCAUGAGGCAAGACAUAUCAGUACCUCGGGGAGCAUUACCAAAGAUGAAGAGGAGCUACUAAGAUCAAUGAAAGAGGCUUCUCAUUUUGUUGGAAAAAUCCGAAAACCACCCCACCUCCCUGACGAGUGUGAUAGCGAAACAGAAGCCAAAAUCAUCGAGGAAGAUGAGAAAGUGUCAGAAGAGGAUGUAGUAGAAGGAAUCGAGUAUUUAGACAGGGAAGUAGAGGAAGAACUCAUAGCCAGGAUGAAUGAGUAUGAGCAGGUGAAUGACGAGCUCCGGGCUGAGUUGGAAAUCAUGAAAAAUGAGUACUCAAUUGUCACAGCUUAUUUUCUCUUCUUUUCUCAUUUUUUUUCUUCUUGUCCCACUUUUCUUCCUAUUUUUCUCUCUCUUCUCUUUUUUCUCCCUCCUCUUUUACUUUUUCCUCUCCCCCUUACUCUUCUCCUCUUUUUUCUUUCCCUUUUCCUCUUCUCCUUCUUUCUACUUUUUUUCUUUCCUUCUUACUAUUGUUUCUCUCAUUUUCCUUUUUCCUUCUCUAUCCCUUCCUCCUCUCCAUUUUCUCCCUCCUGUUACUCUUCCUUUUUUCUUUCCAUUCUCUCCUAAUGCUUUUUCUCUUCUUUUCUCUUUUUCUUUUUAUUGUCCUCCUUUCCUCUUCUUCUUUUUCUCCCUCUCCCUUCUUUUUCUACUUUUCUUCUUUCACCAUUUCCCUUUUCUCCUCUCUGUCAUCUCCCUCUUGUUCCUUUUUCUCUCUUUCCUUUUCUUCCUAAAUUUCUUCCUUUCUUUCUUCUUCACUUUCAUCUUUUCCUCUCCAUUUUUUUCUCCCUCUCUUCUUCAUUUCUCCUCUUCCUCCUUCCUACUCUCUUUUCAUCCUCUUCCUUUUUUUCUUAUCUUCUCUCUUUCUACUCUUCUCCCUUCCCUUUCCUUCCUUUUCUUCAUUCCCUCCCUCUUGUUAGUUAGUUUCUCCUUUCCCUCCUAACUCUCUUCUUCUUCUUUUUUCCUCCUUUUCUUUCUUCUUAUCCUCUUCUUCUUCUCUGUCCCUCUCUCUUCAUUUCUCCCUUUCCCUUCUCUUUUUUCUCCUCCCCCUUUCUCUUCCUCCUUUCCCUCUUCCUGUUUUCCUUUUCAUCUCUCCUUCCUUUUUUCUCCCUUUCCCCUUCUUAUCCUCAUCCUCUUCUUUAUUUUCUUUUCCUUGUUCUCUUCUUAUUCCUCUUUAUUUUUUUUUCCUUCUGGCUACUCUUUCUUCUUCCUCUCUUUUAUUUUUUUUUUCUUUCAGGAACUAUUCUGUCUUUACAAAGACAAGUAGAUUUCCAGGAAUCCCAGCUGCAAAAAACGACACUGGAAAAGGAAACCCUGCAAAAGGAACUCCGAGAAAGGAAAGCUCAGCUUCAAGCCAUGUCGGACAAGUUUGCCAGCCUCCGAGAAGAACGAAAACAUGAAGAAAUGAUGGGCCUCAUCGAGAAGGACAAUCUUAACCUCAGACAGCAUGUAGCUGAGCUGGAGUUUGAACUAAAGAAGAGAGAAGAGGUCAUCUCAGAGUAUGACAGCAAGAUCAAUCAGUUGCAGGCCCAGGUGAAUCUAGACAAAAACCACAUGAACCGGCAGAAGCAGAACCAUGAGGACCUCCAGAACCGCUAUGAAGAAAUGCACUUAUCGGAGCAACAGUACCGAGUGCUCCUGGAGAGUUGCCAAGCCCGGCUUGAAAGGCUAAGAAGUAAAAUCAUGCAGGCUGCAUUUAGUACAGCAGGGAUCAAGUCUCCAGCUACGGAAAUUACAGACACUGACAUCUUAGAAGCCUUGCAGAGAAUCAUUAACGAGCGACUGGACUUUUAUCAGCAGCUGAAACAGAAAGGGGUGAAAGUACCCCCCCUCCACCAGACCGAGUUGGUGCCAGUCACCCCCAAGACCAAGAAAGGGAAGUAACAUCCAUUCUGGGAAAAUCUCUUAUGAUUUGUUCAGCCAAGCUGAGACAAAAGCUAUUUUCUAGUAGGUG